GUCUCCGUGGUGUAGUCGGUUAUCACGUCGGUCUCAUACUAAUUGUAUGAUCCGGACGAAGUCCGGGAAAUCCGAAGGCCGCGAGUUCGAUUCUCGCCGGGGACA